rnacentral:rRNA from 1 species
GACGUAGGGCGCGAGCGUUGUCCGGAUUUAUUGGGCGUAAAGAGCUCGUAGGCGGUUUGUCGCGUCGUCCGUGAAAACUCACAGCUUAACUGUGAGCUUGCGGUCGAUACGGGCAGGCUAGAGUUCGGUAGGGGAGACUGGAAUUCCUGGUGUAGCGGUGGAAUGCGCAGAUAUCAGGAGGAACACCGAUGGCGAAGGCAGAUCUCUGGGCCGUAACUGACGCUGAGGAGCGAAAGCGUGGGGAGCGAACAGG